CUGUGAGCUCGAUGAGUAGGGCGGGACACGUGGUAUCCUGUCUGAAUAUGGGGGGACCAUCCUCCAAGGCUAAAUACUCCUGACUGACCGAUAGUGAACCAGUACCGUGAGGGAAAGGCGAAAAGAACCCCGGCGAGGGGAGUGAAAAAGAACCUGAAACCGUGUACGUACAAGCAGUGGGAGCCUCUUUAUGGGGUGACUGCGUACCUUUUGUAUAAUGGGUCAGCGACUUAUAUUCUGUAGCAAGGUUAACCGAAUAGGGGAGCCGAAGGGAAACCGAGUCUUAACUGGGCGUUAAGUUGCAGGGUAUAGACCCGAAACCCGGUGAUCUAGCCAUGGGCAGGUUGAAGGUUGGGUAACACUAACUGGAGGACCGAACCGACUAAUGUUGAAAAAUUAGCGGAUGACUUGUGGCUGGGGGUGAAAGGCCAAUCAAACCGGGAGAUAGCUGGUUCUCCCCGAAAGCUAUUUAGGUAGCGCCUCGUGAAUUCAUCUCCGGGGGUAGAGCACUGUUUCGGCAAGGGGGUCAUCCCGACUUACCAACCCGAUGCAAACUGCGAAUACCGGAGAAUGUUAUCACGGGAGACACACGGCGGGUGCUAACGUCCGUCGUGAAGAGGGAAACAACCCAGACCGCCAGCUAAGGUCCCAAAGUCAUGGUUAAGUGGGAAACGAUGUGGGAAGGCCCAGACAGCCAGGAUGUUGGCUUAGAAGCAGCCAUCAUUUAAAGAAAGCGUAAUAGCUCACUGGUCGAGUCGGCCUGCGCGGAAGAUGUAACGGGGCUAAACCAUGCACCGAAGCUGCGGCAGCGACGCUUAUGCGUUGUUGGGUAGGGGAGCGUUCUGUAAGCCUGCGAAGGUGUGCUGUGAGGCAUGCUGGAGGUAUCAGAAGUGCGAAUGCUGACAUAAGUAACGAUAAAGCGGGUGAAAAGCCCGCUCGCCGGAAGACCAAGGGUUCCUGUCCAACGUUAAUCGGGGCAGGGUGAGUCGACCCCUAAGGCGAGGCCGAAAGGCGUAGUCGAUGGGAAACAGGUUAAUAUUCCUGUACUUGGUGUUACUGCGAAGGGGGGACGGAGAAGGCUAUGUUGGCCGGG
rnacentral:rRNA from 1 species